rnacentral:rRNA from 1 species
UACAGAGGGGCAAGCGUUGUUCGGAAUUACUGGGCGUAAAGGGUGCGUAGGCGGCGGAGUAAGUUGGGUGUGAAAUCCCGGGGCUCAACCUCGGAAUUGCAUUCAAUACUGCUUCGCUCGAGUACUGGAGAGGAGAGCGGAAUUCCCGGUGUAGUGGUGGAAUGCGUAGAGAUCGGGAGGAACACCAGUGGCGAAAGCGGACUCUCUGGCCAAACUGACGCUGAGGGCGAAAGC